rnacentral:rRNA from 1 species
UGGUGGAGUGAUUUGUCUGGUUAAUUCCGUUAACGAACGAGACCUUAACCUGCUGAAUAGUUACACGUAACCUCGGUUACGUGGGCAACUUCUUAGAGGGACUUUGCGUGUCUAACGCAAGGAAGUUUGAGGCAAUAACA